rnacentral:rRNA from 1 species
CCCUUAGAUGUUCUGGGCCGCACGCGCGCUACACUGAUGCAUUCAACGAGUUUCUUCCUGGUCCGAGAGGAAUGGGUAACCUUUUGAAAGUGCAUCGUGAUAGGGAUAGACUCUUGCAAUUAUUGGUCUUCAACGAGGAAUUCCUAGUAGACGUAGUUCAUCAGACUGCAUCGAUUACGUCCCUGCCCUUUGUACACACCGCCCGUCGCUCCUACCGAUUGAAUGCUCAGGUGAGCCAUUCGGACUUUCAUCAUGCUGGUUUCCAGUUUUGAUGAAGGAAAGUCUUGCGAACCUUAUCAUUUAGAGGAAGGAGAAGUCGUAACA